AUUCCAGCUCCAAUAGCGUAUAUUAAAGUUGUUGCAGUUAAAAAGCUCGUAGUUGGAUUUCUGGGAGGGUGCACGAUGCUGGCUGAGUCCAUGCAGAGGCGCCCUUUCAUCCUUUUGUUAACGUUUCUCGGUAUUCAUUUACUGGUUUCGGGCUCAAAUAUUUUACCUUGAGAAAAUUAGAGUGUUUCAGGCAGGCUUUCGCUUGAAUACAUUAGCAUGGAAUAAUAGAACAGGACUACGGUCUCUUUUGUUUGGUUUGAGGGACUGAAGUAAUGGUUAAUAGGGACAGUUGGGGGCAUUAGUAUUUAAUUGUCAGAGGUGAAAUUCUCGGAUUUGUUAAAGACUAACUUAUGCGAAAGCAUUUGCCAAGGAUGUUUUCAUUA
rnacentral:rRNA from 1 species